CAACCUUUCCCUUCCUGACACGACUGGAGGCGGCGCACUCGCAGAGGCGCCUCGACCCACUUCGUCCUUUCUUGGCGAGCAACUCGCAAAGGUGCCCGAACUCCAGCAAGGGAGAGGAUGAGCGAUUCUGUCGCGACACUCCCCGGCGUCCUGGCGCGGGGGCCGGCGCUGCACGCCCUCGUCCAUGUGGAGCUCACCAACGGCACAAUGGUGGUGGGGCGCUUGCUGGAGAUGGAUGCGGCCACCAUGAACAUUAAGGUAGACGCCAUCACACUCACCGCAGUGCGCCGUCGUCGUGGCCGCUCGCGCGAGGACGCCCCGGCGACACGCGCGCUCGUAACGGCUGGCAGCAGCAGCCCCGUUUGCGGGAGCCACGGCUUGGCGGCACGCAAGACUGAGGACACGAUAGAGGUGAACCCCAUCGCACUGCGGUGCAUCCAGAGCAUCGUCGUACGUGGUGCCUGCAUUCGAUACUUGGACUUCAUCCACGAGACCAAAGACGGCGGCACGAGCUACGGUGAGGUGCUGGUGGCCGCGGAGCAGGUGAGGCCCUCCGUGUAGGGAGAAGGGGGGGCAUGCCGCAAAGGAUUCUCAGUGAUGGCUGCUCCUGUGGACGAGGUCCACGUGUGCCUACAUACGAGCACACACGUGUGUGGGUCUGACGGACUCCCUCUCCGCCUACAAGGGAAUAGCAUAGAAGGAAAGGUCAUCUAUCCGAUCGGUGAUGGCGGGUGCCGAAGGGAAACGAGGAGGCAGGGCGGGACAGUGAGAACGAAUGGAGCGUGCUGUCUGUGCCGGCGCACCACACGGACGUCCACGUCGUCUUUUCCGGGAGCUAGCCCCCUCCCCCACCCCACCCCUCAAAUCUCCUCCGCUACUCAUUCCUUCGACUGAUUCGGUCACACGCACACAAGCGCAUGCGUGUCAGCGCUCAAGAUGCGGUGCUGGUGUGCUGGUGCCAUUCGCCAGCCGAGCUGGAGGAAGAGAUGUAAGGACGCUGGUAGAUGCUGUGUUCGCCCAUGUCUCUCUCGACCUCCCAACUGGCCGCGUAAUCACCAACGCAAGAGAAACAGAAAAAGGUUGUUGUGCUCUGCACUCGUCAGCGCAGGCGCCAAGGGUGACCAAGAGGAACAAGCCUCAGCUGUGUGUGCUGAUGGUGGGACCUACCUCACGGAGGGGGAGAGGGGGUGGGUGGGAUGUCCUGGUGAUACGGAACAGAAACAGAAGAACAUGCGAGGGGAGCACGGCACGUGCUGGAGUGAAAGGGAAAGAGCGCAAAGCAAGGCCGUUGGCGCUGCUCCCUUCGCCCAGCACUCCUCCUGCCCCGCCCCACCUCUUCCGUCCAUUACACCAUGCGCGCACGUGGCACCCCCUCGCUCUCUGUGGAACGCGUCACGUUUAUGAAGGGGGGAGCCAGUCCACAGGGCUCUUCGACAGCACCGUUCUCUACAGGCACUCACCCUCUUCACGCAACACACGCAGACACUUUACACGCCCGGUCGGCGCGAUACGACUCGAGUGGAGAGCACAUGCACGUGCGGAAGGAAGAGGUGCGCCCAGUGAGGCCAGCUGAUGUCCAUUGUUGUGCUGCUGGCUUGGUUGCGGCUAUUCUGGUUUCGACGUGAACGCUCAAGGCGGCGCCGCCUACACCCACACCCGCACACCCUUUCCGAUCCUCUCUACGGAGUGUCCAUCCUCGGGGGCACGGUGUACGUGAGCCACGAGAGGGUCGAGGGCUCACGCUGCGGUAGAGCGGAAGAAGGAACGAAAGACAAGUCCAUUCCGUGUGGUGGCCAACGACGCGAGAAGACACCGGUAGAUAGACAGGCACAACAACACUCAUCCAAACAGAGACGAAUUCAUACCUAGGGUGAGCAAGGCACACGCACGUGCAGCCCAUCUUGGCUGUAGCGCCCACCGAGUCACCCUUCGCAUCCAUCCUCUCCUGCUCCCCGCGCCCGGUAGUGGGGAUCACCACCACCACUGCACGGAGCAACAAGAGGAGGAGGGCUAACACCGCCGGCUUCGUUGGGAUGGUGCCCAAGGCGCCGAUUCCCUGCCUGUCCAAAGGUUUUUGGGGGGACCGCCCAGCCCGCCUGUUAUCGGCAAUAUGCCCUUCUAUUCUCUCUUCAC
rnacentral:misc_RNA from 1 species